GAGGGUAUAGCUCAGUGGUAGAGUACAUGCUUAGCAUGCACGAGGUCCUGGGUUCAAUCCCCAGGACCUCCA
rnacentral:tRNA from 1 species